ensembl:lncRNA
CCGAGGAGCCGGCCGGGCGGCAGCGGGGCGGGGCGGCCCCGGGGCUCCGAGCGCCGCCUCAGCUUCUGCGACUCCCCUUGUCCCCCCUUGGAAUCGUGCCGAGGGAUCUGGAGACGUCCUAGAGAGGUCUGGGGGCAUCCAGGGGGUUCUGGACUCAUGCAGAAGAGUCUGGAGGUGUCCAAGGAGGAUCCAGGGAGUCCCCAGGCCUGCCUGCAGCCGGACCCGGUGACACCGGAGCCCUGUGGCGCUGUCACCAUCCUCUGUCCCGAGGACGGGAGGUGAACUGUGUGCCACCAGCAGAGGGGACCACGGGUGACAUCAGUGUGGAACAGCCGUGACGCGGCGGCGUUGUCAUUGGGUGUCACCGUCACGCAGAGGGGACAAAAGGACCCCCCUGGGGGCAUUGCGUCGAAGUUGGGGACACCGUGAGCAGCUUGAGGACUUCCCAGGGGAAGUGGGGGCACCGCGUCACCGUGUCACACCCCAAAGUUGGGGACGCCCCCGCAGUGUCACACACCAAAGUUGGGGGCACCCCUGUAGUUUCACACCCCGAAGUUGGAAAAACCCCCACAGUGUCACACCCCAAAGUUGGGGACACCUCUGUGUCACCCCAAUGGUGUCCGACCCCAAAGCUGGGGACACUCCACAGUGUCACACCCCAAAGUUGGGGACGCCCCGACAGUGUCACAUCUCAAAUUUGGGACAGCUCUGUGUCCCCCCGAUGGUGUCAGACCCCAAAGUUGGGGACGCCCCCACAGUGUCACAGCCCAAAGUUGGGGUCUGUCCCAGAGGUGGGAGUGCCCCCACAUCCCCACCAUGGCGUCACAUCCCAAAGCUGGGGACCCCCUCUGGGGACCCAUUCAGUGCGUCCCCCAUUGCAGACCGCACUGUUCCCAUGGGGUGGGGGCGGGGGGCACCCUUUAUUUUUGGGAUUAAAGUUUAUUUUGUGAUAAAGGGGUGUUGGGGGAUGCCCCCCCCACGUGAAUAAAGGGCAGAGGAGCGGCUGUGGGGCUCCGUGUGUCACACCAGGGGGUGCUUUGGGGACACUGCAGCAUCCCAGGCCCAUAGCCCCCAUGGCCCUAUAACCACUACAGCCCCAUCUCGUAGCCAUCCCAUAUCCAUAUCCCAUCCCAUAUCCCAUCCUGUAUCCAUAACCCUUCCAAUACCCAAACCAUCAUAUCCAUCCCACACCCAUAUCCCAAAUCCAUCCCACACCCAUAUCCCAAAUCCAUCCCGUAUCCAUAUCCCAAAUCCAUCCCGUAUCCAUCCCCUAUCCCAUGUCCGUAUCCCCGUAUCCCAUCCCAUAUCUCAUCCCGUAUCCGUAUCCCAUCCCAACUCCAUGCCAAAUCUCUUUCUAUAUCCACAUCACCUUAUCCAUCCCAUAACCAUCCCAAAUCCAUCUCAAAUCCAUAUCUCAUCCCAAACCGAUCCCAUCUCCUUAUCCAUCCCAUAUCAAUGUCCCAUCCCUUAUCCAAUCCCAUACCCCAUCCUAAAGCGAUCCCACAUCCAUACCCGCACAUCCCAUAUCCUAUCCCCAUCCUGUACCCCAUGUCCCAUAUCCAUUUCCAUCCCACAGCCUCCCCGAAUCCAUAUCCUCGCAUCCAUCCCGUGUCCACCCCAUAUCCAUUCCGUAUACUUAUCCCAUCCUAUGAUCAUCCCAAUCCCAUCCCAUAUCCAUAUCCUGUCCCAACUCUACCCCAUAUCAUUCCCAUACCUUUGCCAAGUCUGUCCCGUACCCGUAUACCCACUUCCCGCAUCCCAAUCCCAACCCCAAUCCCAAUCCCACACCUCAUUCCCAAUCCCACAUGCCAAUCCCGUAUCCCGCAUCCCAAUCCGUAUCCCGAAUCCCAAUUCCAAUCCCACAUCCCAGCCCCAUGUACCAUGUGUCAAUCCAUCGCAAUCCCAAAUCUCAUAUCCCAGUCCUAACCCCAAUCCCACACCCCCAAUCCCAAUCCCACACCCCAAUCCCAAUCCCAAUGCCAUCCCCUAUUGCAAUAGGGCACACUCCGGGCCCCUCCCGCAGCUCCGUCCCGCCCCCAUCUUCUCAUUGGCUGAGGUGCAGCUCCGUCCCGCCCCCGGCCUCUCAUUGGUCAGGUGCA